rnacentral:rRNA from 1 species
ACUCAAAGGAAUUGACGGGGGCCCGCACAAGCGGUGGAGUAUGUGGCUUAAUUCGAUGCAACGCGAAGAACCUUACCUGGCCUUGACAUGCAUUGUAACCCCGGUGAAAGCCGGGUACCUGGUAGCAAUACCAGGGCUUUGCACAGGUGCUGCAUGGCUGUCGUCAGCUCGUGUCGUGAGAUGUUGGGUUAAGUCCCGCAACGAGCGCAACCCUUGCAUCCUGUUGCCCGAAAGGGAUAUCUGGAUGGACUGCCCUCUGAAAGGGGGAGGAAGGUGAGGAUGACGUCAAGUCAGCAUGGCCCUUACGGCCAGGGCUGCACACGUACUACAAUGCCCAGUACAGAGUGAACCGAGACCGCGAGGUGGAGGAAAUCGACAAAACUGGGCCCAGUUCGGAUCGUAGGCUGCAAUUCGCCUACGUGAAGCCGGAAUCGCUAGUAAUGGCGCAUCAGCUACGGCGCCGUGAAUACGUUCCCGGGCCUUGUACACACCGCCCGU